AGAGUUUGAUCCUGGCUCAGACUGAACGCUUGCGGCAGGCCUAAUACAUGCAAGUCGAACGGUAACAUAAGAAAAGCUUGCUUUUCUUGAUGACGAGUGGCGGAUGGGUGAGUAAGAUUUGGGAAACUACCUGAUAGAGGGGGACAACAGUUGGAAACGACUGCUAAUACCGCAUACAGCCUCAGGGUGAAAGAAGCGAUUCGCUAUCAGAUGUGCCCAAACGGGAUUAGCUAGUAGGUGAGGUAAAGGCUCACCUAGGCGACGAUCUCUAGCUGGUCUGAGAGGAUGAUCAGCCACAUUGGGACUGAGACACGGCCCAGACUCCUACGGGAGGCAGCAGUAGGGAAUAUUGCACAAUGGAGGAAACUCCGAUGCAGCCAUGCCGCGUGUGUGAAGAAGGCCUUCGGGUUGUAAAGCACUUUCGGAGGGGAGGAAAAAAAUGACGUUACCCUCAGAAGAAGCACCGGCUAACUCCGUGCCAGCAGCCGCGGUAAUACGGAGGGUGCAAGCGUUAAUCGGAAUAACUGGGCGUAAAGGGCAUGCAGGCGGUUCAUCAAGUAGGAUGUGAAAUCCCCGGGCUCAACCUGGGAACAGCAUACUAAACUGGUGGACUACAGUAUUGCAGGGGGAGACGGAAUUCCAGGUGUAGCGGUGGAAUGCGUACAUAUCUGGAAGUACACCAAGGCGAAGGCAGUCUCCUGGGCAAAUACUGACGCUCAUAUGAGAAAGCGUGGGUAGCAGACAGGAUUAGAUACCCUGGUAGUCCACGCCGUAAACGAUGUCAAUUAGGAGCUUGGGCAAUAGUCUGGGUUCCGCAGCUAACGCAAUAAAUUGACCGCAUGGGGAGUACGGCCGCAAGGUUAGAACUCAAAUGAAACGACGGGGGCCCGCACAAGCGGUGGAGCAUAUGGAUUAAUUGGAUGCUACGAGAAGAACCUUACCUGAUCUUGACAUCGUAAGAACGUCAUUGAAGGGUGAGGCUGCCUUCGGGAACUUACAGACAGGUGAUGCAUGGCUGUCGUCAGGUGGUAUAGUGAGAUGUUGGGCUAAGUCCAGCAAUGAGCGCAACCCUCUCUUUCGAUGCCAGCGGGAAAUCCGGGAACUCAAAGGAGAUCGUCCAGUGACAGAGCGGAGGCAGCCAGGGAUGACGUAUAGUCAUCAUGGACAUUACGGUCAGGGUUACAUACGUGACACAGUGGGGCGAACAGAGGGAAACGAUACCGUCGAGGUGGAGUGGACACCUCAAUAAGCGUCCCUAACUUAUGAUAGGAAUCCACUAAGUCGACUCCUAAGAAAUGAGGAAUCGAGUAGUUAUUACAAAUCAGAAUGAUUCGGAGAAAAUGGUCCUCGGGGCCUAGUACACGAACUGCGCACGUNCAAGGAGUGCAGAACUUCUGAUAGAGAACCAAUGUCAGCGAGCGAGUCACCAUUUAGUUAGCGCUUAUUGUGAGUCUGCAGUCUGGUUUU
rnacentral:rRNA from 1 species